GAGCACGUAGGUGGGUUUGUAAGUCAGAUGUGAAAGCCUUCUGUUCAACGGAAGAAUUGCAUCUGAAACUGCGAGUCUUGAGUGUAGGAGGGGAGAAUGGAACUUCUGGUGGAGCGGUGAAAUGCGUAGAUAUCAGAAGGAACGCCGGCGGCGAAAGCGAUUCUCUGGCCUAUUACUGACACUCAGUGUGCGAAAGCUAGGGGAGCAAACGGGAUUAGAUACCCCGGUAGUCCUAGCCGUAAACGAUGGGCACUAAGUAGAGGGGUUA
rnacentral:rRNA from 1 species